rnacentral:rRNA from 1 species
GACGAACGCUGGCGGCGUGCUUAACACAUGCAAGUCGAACGGAAAGGCCCUGCUUUUGUGGGGUGCUCGAGUGGCGAACGGGUGAGUAACACGUGAGUAACCUGCCCUUGACUUUGGGAUAACUUCAGGAAACUGGGGCUAAUACCGGAUAGGAGCUCUUGCUGCAUGGUGGGGGUUGGAAAGUUUCGGCGGUUGGGGAUGGACUCGCGGCUUAUCAGCUUGUUGGUGGGGUAGUGGCUUACCAAGGCUUUGACGGGUAGCCGGCCUGAGAGGGUGACCGGCCACAUUGGGACUGAGAUACGGCCCAGACUCCUACGGGAGGCAGCAGUGGGGAGUAUUGCACAAUGGGCGGAAGCCUGAUGCAGCAACGCCGCGUGCGGGAUGACGGCCUUCGGGUUGUAAACCGCUUUCGCCUGUGACGAAGCGUGAGUGACGGUAAUGGGUAAAGAAGCACCGGCUAACUACGUG